UUGCAUUAUCAAAAGCGGAGGAAAAGAAACUAACAAGGAUUCCCCUAGUAACGGCGAGUGAAGCGGGAAGAGCUCAAAUUUGAAAUCUGGCGGUCUAAGGCCGUCCGAGUUGUAAUCUAGAGAGGUGUUUUCCGUGCCGGACCGUGUACAAGUCCCUUGGAACAGGGCGUCAUAGAGGGUGAGAAUCCCGUCCAUGACACGGACUACCGGUGCUCUGUGAUACACCUUCAAAGAGUCGAGUUGUUUGGGAAUGCAGCUCAAAAUGGGUGGUAAAUUCCAUCUAAAGCUAAAUACAGGCGAGAGACCGAUAGCGAACAAGUACCGUGAGGGAAAGAUGAAAAGAACUUUGGAAAGAGAGUUAAACAGUACGUGAAAUUGUUGAAAGGGAAACGCUUGAAGUCAGUCGCGUCUGCCGGGACUCAGCCUUGCUUCUGCUUGGUGCACUUCUCGGUGGAUGGGCCAGCAUCGAUUUUGAUUGCCGGAAAAGGGCGGGAGGAAUGUGGCAGCUUUUGCUGUGUUAUAGCCUUCUGUCGUACACGGUGGUUGGGAUCGAGGACUGCAGCACGCCUUUGGUCGGGGUUCGCCCACGCCACGUGCUUAGGAUGCUGGCGUAAUGGCUUUAAACGACCCGUCUUGAACACGGAAACAAGCAA
rnacentral:rRNA from 1 species